GAGUGGAGCGACGCCUCCUCGGGAUGGAGCCGGGGCCCGCAACCAGAGGCCCGCAGGUCCGGGCUUCGCUGCAUAAGCGCGAACUGCGGGACAAUUUCCGGCAAAAUUACGAUGAUUGCCAGACGAUGAUUACCAGAUCCGGCAGGGGGAUGUUUCAGUGCUGCAAAGUCAGCGUCACGGGUCUGAACCACAAGGUCAAGAACGUGCUGCUGUGGACAGGGUGUCUUUCGAUGACAGCAAAUACAAAUGGAACAAGGACAGAUGGGAGGUGAUUGGCAUAGCAGAGCCACACCCUCCCCCCAAACAUUUCUGCAUCCACCUCUAUUUUCCUGCUGCUGUAUCCGAUAUUCUUCCACAAGCUCAAGAUGACCAAUAACACCCUCAACAGCAGUGGCCCGAUGAAAAAAAGACUCAAGAUACACUAUAAUCCUUUUGCCAAGAGCUUUCGAGAUCAAGAGCUAGACAACAAAAGGUACAGAGCAAAAGGAAAUCAGCCUGCAAGCGGCCCAUGAAAGCAACCCAAACAUGGCCGCACCCCUCUCCAGAUGGGACAGUCCUUUUCCAAGAUUAUGGGGUGUGAAAGCUUCCCGCAGCUCCAUUAGGACAUCUUUAACCAGAGCAGUAGGAUCACUGAG